AUUGAACGCUGGCGGCAUGCUUUACACAUGCAAGUCGAACGGCAGCGCGGGCUUCGGCCUGGCGGCGAGUGGCGAACGGGUGAGUAAUACAUCGGAACGUGCCCAGUAGUGGGGGAUAGCUCGGCGAAAGCCGGAUUAAUACCGCAUACGACCUGAGGGUGAAAGCGGGGGAUCUUCGGACCUCGCGCUAUUGGAGCGGCCGAUGGCAGAUUAGCUAGUUGGUGGGGUAAAGGCCUACCAAGGCGACGAUCUGUAGCUGGUCUGAGAGGACGACCAGCCACACUGGGACUGAGACACGGCCCAGACUCCUACGGGAGGCAGCAUUGGGGAAUUUUGGACAAUGGGCGAAAGCCUGAUCCAGCAAUGCCGCGUGUGUGAUGAAGGCCUUCGGGUUGUAAAGCACUUUUGGCGGGAACGAAAAGGACUGUGCCAAUACCACGGUUCGAUGACGGUACCCGCAGAAUAAGCACCGGCUAACUACGUG
rnacentral:rRNA from 1 species